rnacentral:rRNA from 1 species
UAAGGAAUAUUGGACAAUGGAGGCAACUCUGAUCCAGCCAUGCCGCGUGAAGGAAUAAGGCCCUAUGGGUUGUAAACUUCUUUUAGACGGGACAAAACUCCUUUACGUGUAAAGGGUUGAUGGUACUGUCAGAAUAAGCAUCGGCUAACUUCGUGCCAGCAGCCGCGGUAAUACGAAGGAUGCAAGCGUUAUCCGGAAUUAUUGGGUUUAAAGGGUGCGUAGGCGGACUAAUAAGUCAGUGGUGAAAGCCUGCAGCUUAACUGCAGAAUUGCCAUUGAUACUGUUAGUCUUGAGUACAGUUGAGGUAGGCGGAAUGUGUCAUGUAGCGGUGAAAUGCUUAGAUAUGACACAGAACACCGAUUGCGAAGGCAGCUUGCUAAGCUGUAACUGACGCCGAGGCACGAAAGCGUGGGGAGCAAACA